GGAGAGAUGUCUGAGAGGCCGAAAGAGCACGGUUGGAAACCGUGUGUAGCGCAAGCUACCGGGGGUUCGAAUCCCCCUCUCUCCG
rnacentral:tRNA from 2 species